rnacentral:sRNA from 1 species
AGGUAACACGCUUACGUUGCGGUUCUGUGCACGGUUCGUACCCGCCUGCCGAUUGCGCUACCUGUCGUUAGUC